rnacentral:rRNA from 1 species
AUUGAACGCUGGCGGCAUGCUUUACACAUGCAAGUCGAACGGUAACAGGCCUUCGGGUGCUGACGAGUGGCGAACGGGUGAGUAAUGCAUCGGAACGUACCCAGAGGUGGGGGAUAACGCAGCGAAAGCUGUGCUAAUACCGCAUGUGAUCUGAGGAUGAAAGCGGGGGACCGAGCAGCAAUGUUUGGCCUCGCGCCUUUGGAGCGGCCGAUGUCGGAUUAGCUAGUUGGUGGGGUAAAGGCCUACCAAGGCGACGAUCCGUAGCUGGUCUGAGAGGACGACCAGCCACACUGGGACUGAGACACGGCCCAGACUCCUACGGGAGGCAGCAGUGGGGAAUUUUGGACAAUGGGCGCAAGCCUGAUCCAGCAAUGCCGCGUGCGGGAAGAAGGCCUUCGGGUUGUAAACCGCUUUUGGUAGGAACGAAACGGUGUCCGCUAAUACCGGGCGCUAAUGACGGUACCUGCAGAAUAAGCACCGGCUAACUACGCG